rnacentral:rRNA from 1 species
UACGGAGGGUGCAAGCGUUAUCCGGAUUCACUGGGUUUAAAGGGUGCGUAGGUGGGCAGGUAAGUCAGUGGUGAAAUCUCCGGGCUUAACUCGGAAACUGCCAUUGAUACUAUCUGUCUUGAAUACCGUGGAGGUUAGCGGAAUAUGUCAUGUAGCGGUGAAAUGCUUAGAUAUGACAUAGAACACCAAUUGCGAAGGCAGCUGGCUACACGAAUAUUGACACUGAUGCACGAAAGCGCGGGGAUCAAACAGG